rnacentral:rRNA from 1 species
GACACGCUGGCGGCGUGCCUAACACAUGCAAGUCGAGCGAGUGAAUUUCCUUCGGGAGUGAAGCUAGCGGCGGACGGGUGAGUAACACGUGGGCAACCUGCCUCAUAGAGGGGAAUAGCCUUUCGAAAGGAAGAUUAAUACCGCAUAAGAUUGUAGCUUCGCAUGAAGUAGCAAUUAAAGGAGCAAUCCGCUAUGAGAUGGGCCCGCGGCGCAUUAGCUAGUUGGUGAGGUAACGGCUCACCAAGGCGACGAUGCGUAGCCGACCUGAGAGGGUGAUCGGCCACAUUGGGACUGAGACACGGCCCAGACUCCUACGGGAGGCAGCAGUGGGGAAUAUUGCACAAUGGGGGAAACCCUGAUGCAGCAACGCCGCGUGAGUGAUGACGGCCUUCGGGUUGUAAAGCUCUGUCUUCAGGGACGAUAAUGACGGUACCUGAGGAGGAAGCCACGGCUAACUACGUG